AUACUUACCUGGCAGAGGAUAUAUGAUCAUGUAGGUGUCCCCAUGCCGAGACUUACUUUUGACACUCCAGGAUAUGCUGACUCCUGGCAUUUCCUAUGCAUAAUUUGUGGUAGUGGAAAGACUGCAUUCAAGGCUUUCCU
ensembl:snRNA Gm25115 predicted gene, 25115